GGUAGCCCUUGCAUUGCAAGAUGAUGAUUUGAUUAUGGACACAUUAUCAACAGAAUUGAAUUUGCAUGGAACUCAAGACACGCUUAAGAUCACCACAGCAUAACUGCAGAUUUCAGGAAUUACAGUCAUAGAGGGUACAUCAACUUGAAGAGUAGAUUGAGUCUUACAGGAAGUGAGUUACAAUAAGUAACAUUAAGAGCCCAGCUGCCAGCCUGGCCAACAUGGUGAUCCUCCCGCCUAGGCCUGGGAUUACAGGCGUG
rnacentral:lncRNA from 1 species